rnacentral:rRNA from 1 species
UACGUAGGUGGCGAGCGUUGUCCGGAUUUAUUGGGCGUAAAGCGCGCGCAGGCGGUCGCGUAAGUCUGCUGUGAAAUCUCCCUGGCUCAACCGGGAGGGGGCGGCGGAGACUGCGGGACUGGAGGGACCUAGAGGCCGGUGGAAUUCCCGGUGUAGUGGUGAAAUGCGUAGAGAUGUGGAGGAACACCGAUGGCGAAGGCAGCCCCCUGGGUCAAAACUGACGCUCAUGCACGAAAGCGUGGGGAGCAAACAGG